AUUGAACGCUGGCGGAAUGCUUUACACAUGCAAGUCGAACGGCAGCACGGGGGCAGCCCUGGUGGCGAGUGGCGAACGGGUGAGUAAUACAUCGGAACGUGCCCGGUCGUGGGGGAUAACGUAGCGAAAGUUACGCUAAUACCGCAUACGAUCUGAGGAUGAAAGCGGGGGACCUUCGGGCCUCGCGCGAUCGGAGCGGCCGAUGUCAGAUUAGGUAGUUGGUGGGGUAAAGGCCUACCAAGCCGACGAUCUGUAGCUGGUCUGAGAGGACGACCAGCCACACUGGGACUGAGACACGGCCCAGACUCCUACGGGAGGCAGCAGUGGGGAAUUUUGGACAAUGGGCGCAAGCCUGAUCCAGCCAUUCCGCGUGCAGGACGAAGGCCUUCGGGUUGUAAACUGCUUUUGUACGGAACGAAAAGGCUCUGGCUAAUACCGGGGGCUCAUGACGGUACCGUAAGAAUAAGCACCGGCUAACUACGUG
rnacentral:rRNA from 1 species